GGGGAAGCGGCGGCAGGCGCCAUGUCCGGCCGCGAAGGAAGAUAAGGCUUUCAAGCAGAAACAAAAAGAGGAGCAGAAGAAACUCGAGGAGCUAAAAGCGAAGGCCGCGGGGAAGGGGCCCUUGGCCACAGGUGGAAUUAAGAAAUCUGGCAAAAAGUAAGCUGUUCCUUGUGCCUGAGGAGAUGGUGACCCUUUAUUUCAUCUGUAUUUAAACCUCUCUAUUCCCUGCCAUAACAUCUUUUGCCACGUAUAGCUGGAAUUAAGUGUUGUCUUGGAGCUGUUGUACAUUUAAGAAUAAACUUUUGUAAAAAAAGAAAAAUCUUACAGUGGCUCAUCAUCUCUUUAGUUGUUUUCACUAAGUCGUUCCUACCAUAACUGUGAAUUUAAAGUAAAACCAGCUCAGAAUC
rnacentral:lncRNA from 1 species